UACAUUAAUAUCUGCUAAACCCACCAAAUAUCUAAUGUGUAUGGGGGCCUCCCAAUUUCACUGACUCUGCAGAUGUCAGGUAAAGAAAGGUCAGCCAUGUUGAAUUUCAAAACUAUUGAUCUUUUUGUUUUUACAAUAAAACUGUUAGAUUUACACCAUUCAUUAUACAGUAAAGAAUGUGAUAAGUCUAUGGGUUGGUACAUUGUGCUUUUACCAUUUUUCUCAAUUAAAUAAUAAUGUAAAAGGAAAAUAAAAUGUCUCUAUAUUACAAGAUAUUUUACCAUAAACAUAGCUGUAUCAGGACUUGUUUUAUGGGACAUCUUAACGUUUUUAUUGGCACCACAAUUUCUGGCUAUAGCCUUUUGAUUUUUUAUUUUUUUUGUGGGGUAAUAACAAAACAAUUGCAAUUAUGCCAUUAAUUUACAACCCCCCCACCCCCUCCAGUCACCUGGUUUGGAGUCACUAAAGCACCACCAUGCCGUUACACAGCUACAGUUUAGGGUCCCAACCUGCGUAUAUCAAACUUGUCUGGCCCUGCAAAUAUCAGUAAGGGUGCUGCUACACAUUUACAGUAGGGCUCAUGCACAU